rnacentral:rRNA from 1 species
AACGCUAGCUACAGGCUUAACACAUGCAAGUCGAGGGGCAGCAUGAACUUAGCUUGCUAAGUUUGAUGGCGACCGGCGCACGGGUGAGUAACACGUAUCCAACCUGCCGAUGACUCGGGGAUAGCCUUUCGAAAGAAAGAUUAAUACCCGAUGGCAUAGUUCUUCCGCAUGGUAGAACUAUUAAAGAAUUUCGGUCAUCGAUGGGGAUGCGUUCCAUUAGGUUGUUGGCGGGGUAACGGCCCACCAAGCCUUCGAUGGAUAGGGGUUCUGAGAGGAAGGUCCCCCACAUUGGAACUGAGGCACGGUCCAAACUCCUACGGGAGGCAGCAGUGAGGAAUAUUGGUCAAUGGACGAGAGUCUGAACCAGCCAAGUAGCGUGAAGGAUGACUGCCCUAUGGGUUGUAAACUUCUUUUAUACGGGAAUAAAGUGAGGCACGUGUGCCUUUUUGUAUGUACCGUAUGAAUAAGGAUCGGCUAACUCCGUGCCAGCAGCCGCGGUAAUACGGAGGAUCCGAGCGUUAUCCGGAUUUAUUGGGUUUAAAGGGAGCGUAGGCGGACGCUUAAGUCAGUUGUGAAAGUUUGCGGCUCAACCGUAAAAUUGCAGUUGAUACUGGGUGUCUUGAGUACAGUAGAGGCAGGCGGAAUUCGUGGUGUAGCGGUGAAAUGCUUAGAUAUCACGAAGAACUCCGAUUG